rnacentral:rRNA from 1 species
UACGAAGGGGGCUAGCGUUGCUCGGAAUUACUGGGCGUAAAGCGCACGUAGGCGGAUUCGUAAGUCAGGGGUGAAAUCCCAGGGCUCAACCUCGGAACUGCCUUUGAUACUGCGGGUCUUGAGUCCGAUAGAGGUGGGUGGAAUUCCUAGUGUAGAGGUGAAAUUCGUAGAUAUUAGGAAGAACACCGGUGGCGAAGGCGGCCCACUGGAUCGGUACUGACGCUGAGGUGCGAAAGCGUGGGGAGCAAACAGG